rnacentral:snRNA from 1 species
ACCUUUGCGUAGUGGUAGAAUCAUAGCCAAUGAAGUUAAUCUGAGGUGUGAUUAUUGCUAGUUGAAAACUUUUCCUAAAGCUUCAAUACUAACUUUUAUUAGUUAUCAUUCACUCCAGCCUUUGAGGGC